UCCCUCAAUUGGCCUUCAGUUAGUGACUAGGAUCCUGGGCAACUUCACCACAGAUGAGUUUUGCCCUGAUCCGGUUCUAAGCACGGUCUUAGAAGAGCUGAAUUCCGAGAGCUUGAUGGAGCGUCACGCCAACAAAGACGCGACCAGUGUGUUUCCGUGCACCGCUGCCCCUAUAGUGUACCGCACACCUUCAACGUUGGACGCGGCAGAGAGAGCAGCAGACAUAGGAGGUGGCGCGAAGCUGGACAGGAAAGCCUCAAUGGUGCAGAGGAGAGGGUACACCAGUGACGACAACCUUGACGACCUGGAUUCUCCCCUCGCAUCCCUAAUCGACAGGAGCACCCCACCUUCUCCGUCGAACGGUUUCGCACACUUCAGUGCUCGGAGAGGAGUUUCCAUGGAGAAUACAAGAUACACGCUCCUAAGAGAAGUACGGGGGCUGGAGCAACGGUGAUGGAUGAUGAUGAGCCUGUAAAACCUAUAAUCUCUUCUACAGCCACCCAAAUGAGAGCA